GUCAGCGGCAGCAGCAGCGUUUCUUUCGACGGACUGUCUUCAACUUUUCAAAACCAGUUUACUGUUUUAUAUUUACUGUUUUAUUAUCUGUAUUAUCUUUUAAUUACUGUAUAUAAUUGUAUAUAAUUGUAUUAUCUGUACUGUUUUGUCAUUAAUUAAUUGUAUUUUGGUUUUUUGUUUUUCAGGUUACUGUAGCCGCUGAGGGAGCUCACCCCCAUACCGGUCAGGUAUGGAUCCCCGGUGGAGGAGCAGACCUCUUCCAAUAGUGGCGCAGUCAGGAAACUUUAGCUUCAGGACUCGUCGCGUGUCUCCGUGGCAGGGUGAAGAGCCAGCCGCCUGUGAGGAGCCCCAGCCGUGUCAGCCCGGGUUCCUCGAGGUGAAGCAGAGGGCCCACAUUAAGAAGUGCACAGAAGGUCAGCUGGAGGGACUCCUUCCCACCUCCCACCCAGAGUCUCCAUUGCCUUCAAUCACACCUGAAAGGAAUGGCAGUGAGGCUCUGGUGGUGGUUGCGGAGGCAGAACCUUUGAACAUGCUGAACACUGCUGGUCCAGUUGCACAGUGUGAGGAAGCCCCGAUCACGUCCCUCACCACCACCCACUGCCCGGAGACAUUCAGCCAGUCAGGUGUCGAUGUCCUGUUGCUGGUUGCAGAGGCGGAUCCCUCUCACAGGCUGGACACCAACAGCACCGAGCCUGAGUCUGAGCCAGUGCCAGUUGCACAGGCUGAGGGGGAUCUGGAGGGCAGCGUGGAGGUCGAUGUGGAGAGCAUAGAGACAGCUCCAAAAACACAGAGACGAUGGCUACAGCGCUGCCUGAGAGUCUGGAGGAGCACAGCCUCUACUUUACUCUCCUGCUUUCCUCGUAGGGGAAAUAGAUAAAACAAAAAUGGAGAGGAUAAAUAGAAUGAGGGUGGAUAGAUACAUAGAAAGGGGGAUGAUAUAUAGGUAGAUAGAUAGAAAAGGGGAUGAUAUAUAGGUAGAUAGAUAGAAAAGGGGAUGAUAUAUAGGUAGAUAGAUAGAAAAGGGGAUGAUAUAUAGGUAAAUAACAAAAAUAAUUAUUAUGAUU